CAAAGAUUAAGCCAUGCAUGUCUAAGCACAAGCCGAAAAUGGUGAAGCCGCGAAUGGCUCAUUACAACAGCCUUCGUUUAUUUGAUCUUGAAAUUCUACUUGGAUAACUGUGGUAAUUCUAGAGCUAAUACACGCACAAAAGCUUCAGCCUCGCGGCAGGAGCGCAUUUAUUAGUACAAAACCAAUCGGGCUCUGCCCGUUGUCUGGUGAAUCUGAAUAACUGAGCCGAUCGCAUGGUCUCUGCACCGGCGACGUAUCAUUCAAGUGUCUGCCCUAUCAACUUUCGAUGGUAGUUUAUGUGACUACCAUGGUUAUAACGGGUAACGGAGAAUAAGGGUUCGACUCCGGAGAAGCAGCCUGAGAAACGGCUACUACAUCCAAGGAAG
rnacentral:rRNA from 1 species